rnacentral:tRNA from 1 species
AUUUAAAUAGUUUAUUAAAAAUAAUGAUUUGUGGGGUCAUAGAUAUAUUAACCAGUAUUUUAAAUA